GUAAAUCAAGCCUCACUGAAGAGUAAGUGGAAACAAAAAAAUUAGUAACUUACAAUAUUGUUAUUCUAUUCACAUUAAAUACAAAGUCAGUCGUAUUAAAAAUAUAUUAAUACACGGCUUGGUCAGUCGCGACAUUCCAAGGUAUGUUAUCUCUGGAUAACAGCCGGUAAAAGCUAAUAACACAGGCUCAUCCGGGUAACAGCAGUCGGCGCUGUACUCUAGCUUGAACUAUUUUUUUCUUGGUGGAAGCUUUGCGUUUGUUUAGCUAAUAAAAUAUUGAAACUCAAUUCAAAAUGGUGUACAAUUGUUUAAUUAUGUCAUCCUGGUAUCGCAGACUUGUUUCAUACCAACGCAGCUGCUGCCAUUUUGCUACGAUUGUUUUGUACGCUCUAAUGGAUUAUAAGAUAACUAACAAACUGGUUCCCAUUGUGUCCGAAUGCAUCGUCGUCCCGCCUUCCAAACUGAAAGUCCAAAAGGGUGAACUCCAAAAGCAGAUGACAUCAACCCCUCUCCUGAUCGACAGUGCAAGCAAGCUCGGACAUUCCUGGUCUUCUUCUCACCGAGCACCCUUCUCUGCUUCCAAGUCACCAAGCUUCCUGGGCCCUCUCCAUUUCACCCAGGAUCACUCUGAGCCCCCUGGAAUGUGGGAUUAAUGGUCCUGUGCAUCGUGCAGGCCGUUUGGGAUAUCCGAGACCUUUCCAACUCCAAAGCACGUUCUCUUAUCAAUAACACCCGAUCAUCAUGAUGUCAGUGGUCAGGGGCACAUUUGGAAGUAGAUUAUAGAAAUAGCUGAUUAAAAAUUCACCACCAAGCCAGAAGAAGUAGCCUUUCAUUUUGCAGAAGGACUAGAAGCAACACUAGCCCAAAAUGAUGAUGGACUGAUGGGAUUAGCAAGCUAAGCAAAACAGAAAUUGAUGCAUUUCAAUAUGAUAGCUCACAUUUUAACAGACCGUCA
rnacentral:lncRNA from 12 species